AUACAGAGGGUGCGAGCGUUAAUCGGAAUUACUGGGCGUAAAGCGCGCGUAGGUGGUUGUGUAAGUCGGAUGUGAAAGCCCCGGGCUUAACCUGGGAAUUGCAUUCAAAACUGCACGACUAGAGUCUGAUAGAGGGAAGUGGAAUUUCCGGUGUAGCGGUGAAAUGCGUAGAUAUCGGAAGGAACACCAGUGGCGAAGGCGGCUUCCUGGAUCAAGACUGACACUGAGGUGCGAAAGCGUGGGGAGCAAACAGGAUUAGAUACCCCGGUAGUCC
rnacentral:rRNA from 1 species